rnacentral:rRNA from 1 species
GGGCGCAAGCCUGAUGCAGCCAUGCCGCGUGUGUGAAGAAGGCCUUCGGGUUGUAAAGCACUUUCAGCGGGGAGGAAGGCGGUGAGGUUAAUAACCUCACCGAUUGACGUUACCCGCAGAAGAAGCACCGGCUAACUCCGUGCCAGCAGCCGCGGUAAUACGGAGGGUGCAAGCGUUUAAUCGGAAUUACUGGGCGUAAAGCGCACGCAGGCGGUCUGUCAAGUCGGAUGUGAAAUCCCCGGGCUCAACCUGGGAACUGCAUUCGAAACUGGCAGGCUAGAGUCUUGUAGAGGGGGGUAGAAUUCCAGGUGUAGCGGUGAAAUGCGUAGAGAUCUGGAGGAAUACCGGUGGCGAAGGCGGCCCCCUGGACAAAGACUGACGCUCAGGUGCGAAAGCGUGGGGAGCAAACAGGAUUAGAUACCCUGGUAGUCCACGCCGUAAACGAUGUCGAUUUGGAGGUUGUGCCCUUGAGGCGUGGCUUCCGGAGCUAACGCGUUAAAUCGAC